ACGCUGGCGGCAGGCCUAACACAUGCAAGUCGAGCGGUAGAGAGAAGCUUGCUUCUCUUGAGAGCGGCGGACGGGUGAGUAAUGCCUAGGAAUCUGCCUGGUAGUGGGGGAUAACGUCCGGAAACGGACGCUAAUACCGCAUACGUCCUACGGGAGAAAGCAGGGGACCUUCGGGCCUUGCGCUAUCAGAUGAGCCUAGGUCGGAUUAGCUAGUUGGUGGGGUAAUGGCUCACCAAGGCGACGAUCCGUAACUGGUCUGAGAGGAUGAUCAGUCACACUGGAACUGAGACACGGUCCAGACUCCUACGGGGAGGCAGCAGUGGGGAAUAUUGGACAAUGGGCGAAAGCCUGAUCCAGCCAUGCCGCGUGUGUGAAGAAGGUCUUCGGAUUGUAAAGCACUUUAAGUUGGGAGGAAGGGCAGUAAAUUAAUACUUUGCAGUUUUGACGUUACCGACAGAAUAAGCACCGGCUAACUCUGUGCCAGCAGCCGCGGUAAUACAGAGGGUGCAAGCGUUAAUCGGAAUUACUGGGCGUAAAGCGCGCGUAGGUGGUUCGUUAAGUUGGAUGUGAAAUCCCCGGGCUCAACCUGGGAACUGCAUUCAAAACUGACGAGCUAGAGUAUGGUAGAGGGUGGUGGAAUUUCCUGUGUAGCGGUGAAAUGCGUAGAUAUAGGAAGGAACACCAGUGGCGAAGGCGACCACCUGGACUGAUACUGACACUGAGGUGCGAAAGCGUGGGGAGCAAAC
rnacentral:rRNA from 1 species